UAAUCAUUAAAUUAAAAAAACAGUUUCAGAAGCCUUCAAACACUAAUUAAUAAGCGAUUAAGUUCCAUUGCAAAAUCUGAUCGAUUCUUCGAAAAUGGACACCAUGGGAAAGCUUCUGAUCAUUUUCACAUUUUCUUUGUGCCUUUACCUCCUCGUAGCUCUGCUCUAUGUCUUCUACAGGUAUUGGUGGAUACCUUAUCGUAUACAGCUCAUCAUGAAUUCACAGGGAAUCAGAGGGCCUCCUUAUAAAUUUAUCCAUGGAAACAACAAAGAAACUGCGGCAAUGCGAAGGGAAGCGUUUAGCAAACCUAUGGCCUUGACACAUGCUAUAUUUCCUAGAGUGAUGCCUCAUGUUUAUUCCUGGAUCAACAAAUACGGGAAGAGUUAUCUUAGUUGGAAUGGAUGUCGACCUCAAUUGGUAAUUACAGACCCAGAAAUUGUAAAGAGGUGUUGAGAAACAGUGAAAAAGCUUUUCCAAAGGGAAGCCUACAAAUUUCUUUGAGAAUAUAUUAGGCGAGGGCUUGUUACAACCGAAAGUGAGAAAUGGGCAAGGCAAAGGAAGUUGGCCAAUUAUGCAUUUCAUGGGGAGAGCUUAAAAAACAUGAUUCCAGCAGUGGUUGUUAGCGUUGAAACAAUGCUUGAGAAAUGGAAAGGUCGG